AACGAACGCUGGCGGCGUGCUUAACACAUGCAAGUCGAACGAGAAAGCCCUUCGGGGUGAGUACAGUGGCGCACGGGUGAGUAAUGCAUAGGAACGUACCUUUUAGUGGGGAAUAACAACGGGAAACCGUUGCUAAUACCGCAUGAUGUCGCAAGACCAAAGAUGGCCUCUACUUGUAAGCUAUCGCUAGAAGAUCGGCCUAUGUCCCAUUAGCUUGUUGGGGGGGUAACGGCCCACCAAGGCGACGAUGGGUAGCUGGUCUGAGAGGACGAUCAGCCACACUGGAACUGAGACACGGUCCAGACUCCUACGGGAGGCAGCAGUGGGGAAUAUUGCACAAUGGGCGCAAGCCUGAUGCAGCAACGCCGCGUGAGUGAAGAAGGCUCUUGGGUCGUAAAGCUCUUUCGGCAGGGAAGAAGGGUCCUAUGGUAAAUAAUCAUGGGAUUUGACGGUACCUGCAUAAGAAGCACCGGCUAACUCCGUGCCAGCCGCCGCCGUAACAC
rnacentral:rRNA from 1 species